CUUUGUUGCCAGUGAAUAUAACUAUCUGCAUUCAACUUUUUAUUACAUCAUAGAGAAUAAGACUAAUGCUGACCUUGGUUAUGGUAUCUCUCAGUUUCUUGGUCUCAAACAUGAGGGACUUGACAUAGUCAAUUAUAAAUCUUUGCUUAGCUUAGUUACAUUGAAUUAAUCCUAAGCUUUUAUUCUUAUUCUAAAAAGUGUGAUUCUGAAUAUUUUUAAAAUAACAUUAGGAUCCAAUAUGCCAUGGAGGAGAUAAUUGUAAUUUUUCUUCCUGAAAAUAUUUUGGGAAUUUUCUCCUUUCCCCUUCUCCACUGAUUGAGAGAGCAGACAGUAGCUAUAAAGACAGCUUCCUUCUCUUUCCUCUUCCCUGUCUCCUCAUAGCUCACUUUUGUUGGCCUGAGUUGGUAAAGGAUCAGGGCAUGAGAGUGUGAGCAAAGGAAAUAUCAGGGAGAAUGUUUUUGAUAUUCUCUGUAUUUUCAUUUUCUGUUCAUUCAUUCAUUUCACAGAUACAUACUGAGCACCUAUUUAUUGAACAUCUGUGUGCCAGCCCUGUGCUAGGUGCUGUAAACACAGGGAUUUUCCUGACAGAUGCAGGCACUGCCCUCAUGGAGCUUUCACACAAGUGAAGAAGAAAAAUAGCAGUAACUGUUCCCAAUAAUAAAUGGAUGCUACAACCAAAAGAAGAGUUUCAGUUUCUCCAGAGAAAAGUAGAAAAAACAGAGCCAUGAACAGUGCUCCUGAAGCAGUGGCUUCAGCCACAGCCACGUGUAAGAACCAGCUCUAAUUCUAUUAAUGUAGUAUCUCUUGGCCUAAUGAUGGGAAAAUGCCUAAUUAAUUCUGAUUAUAUAUGUGAAAUUUAUUUGUGUAAUUAAUUAUGAUUCUUUUUGGUACUUCUUAAUGUUGAAUAAGGAAAGUAUUCUUUAGCUGUGUUUGAGAAAAAUUAUUUAAUUAAUGUAUAACUUAAUGACGUGCAAUCAUGUUAUCUUUCGUUGGCCAACAGUAGGUGUUUUAUUAUAGGAUCAUUAAAACAGAAAAUUAUUUUCUUUGUGAAAUCAUACUUUUAUUUCCCUCCCUAUGAGCUCUUCAUUAUUAAGGGAUAUUCAUUUCACUUUCCUGCCUUCCCUUUCAACACUCUUUCUUUCUUUUCCAGCUAAGGGAAACAAAAGGCUAACAAAUUGCUCUGAUGGUAGCACUCUGAAACAUGUUCUUCAGUUUCUUCUCUUACCUCAAUAUUUUUAUGUCCCAUAGUGUCAUAUACCUUGUGAGGUUACCAGUAGUAGAGAUAUUUCUGGUGUAAAUGUAGAGAAAUUUGCUCUCCUUACUAGGCUAGUGGUUCAAAGCACAGACUCUGGAAUAACACCCUCUGAUGGUUCAAGUUCUGUCUCUCCCACUUACUCGUGUUAUGAAAGUAACCUCUUUAUUUCUUACUUUCCUCUUCUUCCUACAGCUUCUUGUAGAAUUAUUGUCAGAAUUAAAUGAGUUGAUGCAUGUGAAAGGCUUAGUAACUGUGUCCUGCACAUACUGGAAGUUCAGUAAGUGAUAUCUGCUAUCCUCAUGGUUCUAAAAAUGCACUAAAAUUUGAUAAUGAAAGGAAAAAAAAAGGUUGAGAGGAGUAGGUACUAAUCCUCUCUGGUGCCUGCAUUCUCUUGUCCUGCUUCUUUUUCAUCCCCUCUACCCCAGCUUACCCCCACAAAAUGAUUUAUGUCCUUUCACAGUACUUGGUUCAAGGACCCCUGCUCCCUGCUCAAUCCUUCCCUGCUCUGGGACCACUGGCCCACCUUCUUCCUUACUCCCCUUUUCCUAUGUGCUACAGCACUGUCUUGAUUUCCUUUCCUCUCUACACACUCCUUUUGUUAUCUUUUCCCCUCAGACCCAAAUCCAGUUCUUUAUGCUCUUUUCUUGAAGAACUCAAACAUGCUCACAGCUUCAGCUGUCAGCUCUGUGAGGAUGGUCCCUAAGCACCCCUGAUACCUUGAUUUGUGCUCAUUCAUCUAGUAUAACUUUGUAAUGAUAAUGACUAUUGGACAGCAAAUACUGGGCAGCAUGAAUCACAGAUAUUUGAGAGCUAAAAGAACUCUAGCAUGACCUGGUUCAGCCUGUUCAAAUGAAAUAGAAUUGAUUGAGUUAGGAGAUAUAUUUGGAGGAUGGUUUCAAAAUUAGUACCAAAGUUAAAUUUGUGUAACACUUCACAGUGUAUGAAUGCUUUUAUUUGCAUUGACUCAUCUUAUCCUCACAUCAUCUUACUGAUGCAGGUCAGGCAAGUAUUUUUAUCCUCAACCUAAAUAUAAGCAUAAGAAAGAGUUAUAACUUUCAUAAGAUCAUAUUCCUAGUAAGUAAAUAAAUGUGACUUAGACCUAGCCCCCUGUAAUUCAGCACAAUUUUUCAUGUGGGCACUGGUAAUUCAUCUUUUUUGUUUCCCUGUGGAAAUGUCAUUAAAGUAGAUACAGCAUGUCUCACUGAUGACUUAGAGUUUUAUUGGUUUUCUCUGGUUUUCUUUGUAAAAGUUAAUGAGACUCUAACUGAAUGUUAUUUUUCUGGAGUGUUAUAUUAUCCUAGUUUCUGACACUUAAACGCACAGAUCAAUUUAAAUGGAAUAUUUUUUAAACAAACAUACUUCAAAAAGGUAAAAUAACUUUUUAAAGAAAAGAUGACAAUUCAAAUGUUUAAUUAAACCAGGGUAAAAAUGUACAUAUAAUUCAGCUUCAAGUGCUGACUGAGAAAGGUUCUGAAGGAAAGUAGAGGAUAAGAAAAUGACUGUCAUUCCACAGAACACAGGAAAGAACCCCUUACAAAGAGGUGGAAGAUGGAAGACUUCUGCUUCCAUCAUCCUUCUGGACAAGCUGCUGCUCAUGUUCUUCCUUGAGUAGUAGGAGUCAAGGUAUGCACUCUCCUCCCUUAUUACUGUCAUGGUGUUCCGAUUUGUUCUAGUCACACACAUAGACACAGCCUUGAAAAGGCUAGGGAAAUGAGCUUCCCUGUGGGUGUAUAUUAGAAGCAUUUAAUUAUAUCUAUUUCCUUUUCUCUCUUUCCACUUUCACCAACCGAAUGUGAGAAAUUUAUUCCUAGUGAUCUUUUGUGUGCUGGCUACCUCAGAUGACUUACCUAAGAGUUAUAUAGAAUCAUUUUAUUGGAUUUGACUUCCUAGUGACCAGAACAGUCUCAUCACUUGGGAACUUUAAUCAUAAUUGGGUAGUGUAAAUAAAACUCACAUUUUGAAAUAAUUAUGAAAAUAAAGAACUAAUUCUACAUAGAAUUUGAUUCAAAGCAGCCAGAAUUUUUGCUCAUUAGAAUUACGGAAAUCAUCUCCACAUUCGACUGUCAGAGCCAAAACAUUUGUUGAUUUAGUUUUGAAUUGUAAAAUCAGGUACUUUGCAGAAAUAACAUGGCAGCUUUACUCUUUCCUUGUGUUAUUUUUUUUCCCACAUCUACCUAGUAAGAUUAAAUUUAUAUGAUUGUUUUAAAGAUGAAUUCAAACUACUGUAUUAGGUUUAUUAUUCCCCUGGAAAAUUUAUAUAUUAGCAAUCACAUGUAUGUGCUUAAAGCUCUCUCUCUUACUCAUUUUUUUAGCACCCAUGGGGAAAUGUUUACUUUGAACCUUUUCUCUCACAAUCAUCAAUCUAGGUAUAGUUAUGAUAGUGAUGGUCUAGUGUGCCCACAAGUGGUCAGGAAGACAGGAAUGAUGAUGCAUGUGUGUGUGCAUACACACACACACACACACACAGGCAUGCAUGUACACAUGCCUGUGUUUACAAUUUUCCACCAGACGCUAGCUCGGCCUCUUCUCAUUCAGCUUCCUGAAGACUGAGUGAGCCCUAAAGUAUUAUGAUUUUCUAUUUGGUCUUAAGAGGAGGAAUAUACAUGAACUAUAUAACUCCUACUAAGUUCUGACUUCAAAUAAAGAAAAAGGAUAUUUCUGUUACCAAUAAAAUAAUCAGCUUUCAAAUGUUUAAGUAUUUUAGUGUUCAUGUCCUCAAAAAGUUCAGUGUACUGUUCAAAUUUUUAACUGCAGAUGGUGGUGGUACAGUGGUAGAAAAUAUACCUAGGUGUAUAUCCUGACCCUGCCAAAUCACAUGUGUGUGUGUGUGUGUGUGUGUGUGUGUGUGUUCAUCUGUAUAUGAAUGACUUAACCAAUCAAGUUGAUAAUGUAGGUCUUUGAAUAUAUGCUGACUUUAGUAAAUGUGUAAUCAAUUAUCCACUUCAACUAAGAAUUAUAUUAAAUGUCUACCUCCAGGGCUUAUACCAAUCAGAGUUAUUCAGUUGAGAAUUAACUGCUUCAAACUGACAUGCAUCUAUUUAACUGUUGAGACUUCUCCAAAAAGAAAGAAAAAAAUCCUUUGAAAUGUCUAAGUAAAACUUUAAUAGAUAAUGAAAUGGGAUUGUGUUAGAAGUUAUAUUGUACAAAUCUAAAAUGCUAACUCUAUAAAAUGAGGGAAGAAAAUCAAGGUUGUGCUUUUUAUGACUAAAGUCCUACUAAAUUAUUUCUUACAGUGAAGCAAAAGUAUGCUGCAAUCAAACCCAAGGAGGACACAAUGAUCAGAAAGCAGUCACAGAGAGAUUCAUUCAGUUACUAUGCCAGAUGCUAAUUUAGGUCCUAGGUAACAGGAUGGGGGGAAAGUGAGGGAGACAGAAAUCCUUAUAAAGAUUGCGUUUUAGUAAAGGCAGACAGAAAAAUAUAACAAAGUUAUAGGAUGUUAAAAGUGAUAAUGCUAUGGUGAAAAAUUGGGACAAGUACAAGAGGGUGUGAGAAGGUGUGUAAUUUUCAGUUAGAGUAUUUUGAGGAGGCUUCUCAUCUUUCUCAGAAGUUUGAGGAGGAUUUUCCUUAAAAAAAAAAAUCCUUAACAUUUAAGAAGUAUCUGGUUCUCAAAACGUUCAAUGUACUGUCCAACAGAGUUUUAAUGUUAAAAUUUUUACAUGAGUAAAGACAUGAGAAGAAGGGAUGGAAAUCAAGGUCAUUAAGGAGGAAAAGGCCACACUGGGUAUAAAAUAAAUAGACCCACUUUUACACUUUUCAUUACAUAUGACUUCCGUUUAAAUGGUCCAGGGUCUAUAAUUAUAAUAUACACAGUAGCUAAUAAUCUGAGGAUUUUUCUUGUACUAGCCACUGUGUUAAGCACUUGAUGUGUGUUGCUUCAGUUAAUCCUUGCAACCCUCUGAUGUAGUGCCUCUGUCUUGCCAAUGAGAAACUAAGCUUCUAGAAGCUCAGUAAUUUGCUUGGAGAUGCAUAGUUAGUAAUUGACAGAACUGGGAUUAGAAUGUUAAUUGUUGGACCCCAAAGCCUGUGGAUGCACCCACUAAAUUUUACUGUUUUAGUAUGCUCUUUGCUAUCCCUGUCUGUAUGAAGUGGCUCAGGUGACAUUUACUUAUUGCUUAAAAUCAUCAUUAUUUUUCAGGGACUUUGAAGUUUCCAAUUAUCUUUUCCAUGUAUAUAUAUUGUAUUGGACUCUAUUGAAAGCUGUAUUAGAGUAAGUUUGGGGAAAGGUUUCCUUAUAGCCUAAGUCAAAAUUAUUUUGAGUUCAAAGCACAGUGUGUUUGU